rnacentral:lncRNA from 1 species
UGGGUGGAAGAGCUAUAUCCGGUCUUAUGGGCGUAUCGGAUAACUCUCCGCAUACCGACAGGAAAAUCUCCCUUCAAUUUAGCUUAUGGAAUAGAAGCAAUGAUAUCGCUCGAGAUCGGAUUGCCAUCAACAAGAGUCGAACAAUAUUGUGAACCGAGCAACUCUGAAUGUCGGAGAGCCGAUUUAGAUCUCCUUCCAGAACU